UACGUAGGGGGCAAGCGUUGUCCGGAUUUAUUGGGCGUAAAGCGCGUGUAGGCGGCCAGAUAGGUCUGCUGUGAAAACUCGAGGCUCAACCUCGAGCUGUCGGCGGAAACCAUCUGGCUAGAGUCCGGAAGAGGAGAGUGGAAUUCCUGGUGUAGCGGUGAAAUGCGCAGAUAUCAGGAAGAACACCUAUGGCGAAGGCAGCUCUCUGGGACGGUACUGACG
rnacentral:rRNA from 1 species